GAUGAUGAUGAUGAUGAUGGUGUAAUGGUUGUGUGGAUACAGUGAGUAAAACUAGUAAACGGGCUUAAUGAGAUGCGUUGAUCGUUAGACAGUCACACACACACACACACACAGAGGGAGAAAUAUGCUGCUCGUUACUGUAGAAACUGAUUGUCGUGGAGGAAGACAGGGACUUGUAAAGACCACCCUUUCUCAGGCCAGACAAUACAUCCUGUAUAAUCUGACAGAAUGGGAUAAUGCACCAGAUGUCAGCUGGGUGAUUAUUACAUAGCUCCACAUCUACGGUAUGUACAUGAUAGACAUACAGGGAUAAAAAGGAUCAUUUGUUAGGUGGAAGAUUACUUCACUACAUGGACCAUUAUGGACACACUGUAAAACAACAUACAGUAUGUUGGGACAGGUACUGCUAUCACAGGGGAUGAUGCUGUAGUGUGUUGGGACAGGUACUGCUAUCACAGGGGAUGAUGCUGUAGUGUGUUGGGACAGGUACUGCUAUACCAGGGAAUGAUGCUGUAGUGUGUUGGGACAGGUACUGCUAUACCAGGGAAUGAUGCUGUAGUGUGUUGGGACAGGUACUGCUAUACCAGGGAAUGACGCCCUUGUCCGCAGGCCUGGGCAACUCCAGUCCCCGGGGACCUGAUUGGUCCCAACAAACACAACUGAUUUAAACGAAUUACAUUCUAAACUGAAGAUCAGAUUCAGUUGAUUAUUGGAGUCAGGUGUGUUAGCUGGGGACAAAAUGUGACACCAAUCAGGACCGUAGUUUCCCAUGGCCUGCGUGUGUUAACCUCCAUGCCAGUAGAGGGCAGAGCUGAGUAGGUGUUACCUGAAUAAACACUGGGGACAAUGAAGCCAAGCUGUAAGUCAGAGUGACCUCGUCAUGUUCUACUGGUCAACAUCCAGAACAGUAGCAACAUACAGUAAACCAAGGCCUGCCACCAAAAUGAUGAAAUGUACUGAAAUGUACCUGAGGGUAACUUUAAACAUUUCACUGAAUGAUGAUACAGUGGGGCAAAAA
ensembl:lncRNA